AGCAUAUCAAUAAGCGGAGGAAAAGAAACCAACAGGGAUUGCCUCAGUAACGGCGAGUGAAGCGGCAACAGCUCAAAUUUGAAAUCUGGCGCCUUCGGCGUCCGAGUUGUAAUUUGUAGAGGAUGUUUCGGCGAGGGCUCCCGUCUAAGUCCCUUGGAACAGGGCGUCGCAGAGGGUGAGAAUCCCGUAUGUGAUGGGUUGCUCGAGCCAUGUGAAACUCCUUCGACGAGUCGAGUUGUUUGGGAAUGCAGCUCUAAAUGGGAGGUAAAUUUCUUCUAAAGCUAAAUACCGGCCAGAGACCGAUAGCGCACAAGUAGAGUGAUCGAAAGAUGAAAAGCACUUUGGAAAGAGAGUUAAAAAGUACGUGAAAUUGUUGAAAGGGAAGCGCUUGCAACCAGACUCGCGCGCAGUUGCUCAGCCGGUCUCCUGACCGGUGUACUCUUCUGCGUCCGGGCCAGCAUCAGUUCGGGCGGUCGGAUAAAGGCCUCGGGAAUGUGGCUCCCCUCGGGGAGUGUUAUAGCCCGGGGUGCAAUGCGGCCAGCCUGGACUGAGGAACUCGCUUCGGCUAGGAUGCUGGCGUAAUGGUUGUAAGCGGCCCGUCUUGAAACACGGACCAAGGAGUCUAACAUCUAUGCGAGUGUUUGGGUGUCAAACCCAUGCGCGUAAUGAAAGUGAACGGAGGUGGGAACCCUUACGGGUGCACCAUCGACCGAUCCUGAUGUCUUCGGAUGGAUUUGAGUAAGAGCAUAGCUGUUGGGACCCGAAAGAUGGUGAACUAUGCCUGAAUAGGGUGAAGCCAGAGGAAACUCUGGUGGAGGCUCGCAGCGGUUCUGACGUGCAAAUCGAUCGUCAAAUUUGGGUAUAGGGGCGAAAGACUAAUCGAACCAUC
rnacentral:rRNA from 1 species